rnacentral:rRNA from 1 species
CAGGUUGAAGCGAGGGUAAAACCUCGUGGAGGACCGAACCACGUUGCUGUUGAAAAAGCAUGGGAUGAGCUGUGGAUAGCGGAGAAAUUCCAAUCGAACCCGGAGAUAGCUGGUUCUCUCCGAAAUAGCUUUAGGGCUAGCGUCGAGUAUGAGUAGUGGAGGUAGAGCACUGAAUGGGCUAGGGGGCAUAGCGCUUACCGAACCUUAUCAAACUCCGAAUGCCACAUACUUUGAGCUCGGCAGUCAGACUACGAAUGAUAAGAUCCGUGGUCAAAAGGGAAACAGCCCAGAUCGUCAGCUAAGGUCCCAAAGUGUAAGUUAAGUGGGAAAGGAUGUGAGAUUUCUAAGACAACUAGGAUGUUGGCUUAGAAGCAGCCAUUCAUUAAAAGAGUGCGUAAUAGCUCACUAGUCGAGAGAUCUUGCGCCGAAAAUGUAACGGGGCUAAACUUACCACCGAAGCUACGGGCUUGAACUUAUGUUCAAGCGGUAGGAGAGCGUCGUAACCGGGCUGAAGUCGUACCGUAAGGAGCGGUGGACUGGUUACGAGUGAGAAUGUUGGCAUCAGUAGCGAGAUGUGGGUGAGAAUCCCACAGGCCGAAAACCUAAGGUUUCCUCAGGAAGGUUCGUCCGCUGAGGGUUAGUCGGGACCUAAGCCGAGGCCGAAAGGCGUAGGUGAUGGACAACUGGUUGAUAUUCCAGUACCACUACCAUCGUUAUUAUCGAUGGCGUGACGCAGGAGGAUAGUGUGUGCUAGCUAUUGGAUGCUAGUCUAAGCGUUUAGGCAGUGAGAGUAGGCAAAUCCGCUCUCAUAAUGCUGAGGCGUGAUGGGGAAGGUUCCACGGAACCGAAGUACAUGAUUCCACGCUGCCAAGAAAAGCGUCUAGAGAGAGAAGUAGUGCCCGUACCGCAAACCGACACAGGUAGGUGAGGAGAGAAUCCUAAGGCCGGCGGAAGAAUUACAGUUAAGGAACUCGGCAAAUUGACCCCGUAAGUUCGCGAGAAGGGGUGCCUACGAGAGUAGGCCGCAGAGAAUAGGCCCAAGCAACUGUUUAGCAAAAACACAGGUCUCUGCUAAAGCGUAAGCUGAUGUAUAGGGGCUGACGCCUGCCCGGUGCUGGAAGGUUAAGGGGAACACUUAGCGCAAGCGAAGGU